UCCCCCGUGGCGCAAUUGGCUAGCGCGUCCGACUGUUAGAAACAUCUGCGAUCGGGAGGUUGGUGGUUCAAGCCCACCCGGAGGAG